rnacentral:rRNA from 1 species
CCUACGGGAGGCAGCAGACCCCUCUCGAGGCGUAUAUUAGGUGUACCUAGAAGAGCACAUUGGGGAAUAUCUGCACAAUGGRGCGGAAGCCUGAUGCAGCRACGCCGCGUGAGGGAUGACGGCCUUCGGGUUGUAAACCUCUUUUAGCAGGGAAGAAGCGAAAGUGACGGUACCUGCAGAAAAAGCGCCGGCUARSUACGUGCCAGCAGCCGCGGUAAUACGUAGGGCGCAAGCGUUAUCCGGAAUUAUUGGGCGUAAAGAGCUCGUAGGCGGUUUGUCGCGUCUGCUGUGAAAUCCCGAGGCCCAACCUCGGGUCUGCAGUGGGUACGGGCAGACUAGAGUGCGGUAGGGGAGAUUGGAAUUCCUGGUGUAGCGGUGGCAUGCGCAGAUAUCAGGAGGAACACCGAUGGCGAAGGCAGAUCUCUGGGCCGUAACUGACGCUGAGGAGCGAAAGGGUGGGGAGCAAACAGGCUUASAUACCCUGGUAGUCCACCCCGUAAACGUUGGGAACUAGUUGUGGGGACCAUUCCACGGUUUCCGUGACGCAGCUAACGCAUUAAUUGGGCCGGAUGGAGGCCAGCAGUAARCCCCCUAUGUGUGGAUUUCUAGCGUCGGCUAGUAGAUCAACGCGAAGAACCUUAC